GAGCAAGAAUCAAGAUUAUAAACCAUUCAAGGCCCCAUGGACCAUCCUCAGCUUCUUCUGUCCUUCCCAUUCCCAGCUGUGUAAUUAUUUUAGUUAGCAUGUAUACUUGGAUAUGUUUCAUGAUGACAUUUUAAUAAUAUAUGCCACCUACCUCUUUGUCUGCCACCCUCACAGGUCAAGGGCAUUGGCUUCAAUUCUGCAUGAGAUGAGAUGAGGCCAGGGGAGAGUUCUAAAUAGAAAUAGCUCAUGGUCUUACUUGCAUCUCCAGGGGACAGAGUGUAAGGACCAACCCACAGGCACAAGCAGUGAUGACAAGCACGAGACCAGUUAGCAGACAAACAUUGUAGUCCAGAGAGAUCAGUAGCUAGACCAAUGUUGCUUACAUUCUAGGUACAAUUUUUAGUGGGGAUGGGGGGAGGAGGGGGGAGUGGGAUACAAGGAACAAGGUCAACUAUGGUCUAUGGGAGAAACAAGUUGGAUGACUUCCAGGUUUCUUCUGGAGCUCCUAAAAAAUUAUGAGGAAAAAAAAAACCUCCAAGGAAAUGGAAUCUGAAUGCCACAAAUUAAAGGAAUGUGUUAUUUCAAAGAACUAAAACACCAUGGUGCUUGAAAGCAGUCUUUGUGCUUUUUAAAAGCUAGAGAAAAACCAUAUGAAUAAGACAAGGACCAAAAAUUGCUCAUUUGGUUUAAUAAAUAACAAUAGGGAAAAAACACCCUUUGAUGAUUAUGGUGAAAACAAUUGCAAUAUUUAUUUAUUUAUUAUUUAAUUUAUUGUUUUAUUAUUGGUCAAGCUCUACCUCCAAAAAAGUGUUGAGUGUGCAACAUUAUGACAAAAUUUAUGGUUAGCUUAAAUAAAUAGAAUGAACUUAUUAGAAGCUCAUUAAAUCUACAAGUCUAGGGCUGGAGAGAUGGCUCAGCAGUUCAGAGCACUGACUGGUCUUCCAGAGGUCCUGAGUUCAAAUCCCAGCGUCUACAUGGUGGCUCAUAACCAUACGUAAUGGGAUCUGAUGCCCUCUUCUGAUGUGUCUGAAGAUAGCAACAGUGUAGUCACAUUAAAUAAAUAAAUAAAUAAAUAUUUUUUUAAAAAAUCUACAAGUCUAUCCCAUGCACCUAGCACAAUGGGACACCGACAUUUCGCACAUGGUUCAGGUCUCUAGGUAUCUAUGCAUUGGUAAGAAUGCAUAUGUGAAUGAGAAGAAUAAAACAAUCUCACAGCAUAGUCAUGGUUACCAAAAGGAGUCUGUAGAAGAGGCUUCAUACAAGAGAGUAGAAAGAUCCCUCAGAUGAACUCCAGCCAAGAAACCUGUGACCCGGUCAAGAAGCAGAGACUUUGGUCUUGAAAGUUCUGAGUCUUGUGGAGCCAGCACCUUGCCAGGGCAAAGUCUAUGGCUUAUAACUUGCAUCCCCUCUACGUGAGCUCUUUGAUUUUCUUGCUUGAACGUGAGCAGAAGAACACAGACCUUAAGUGAAGAUGAUGCUCUCCAUCCACACCUUUGUAUAGGCCUCCUCCAAAGACAUUGUCUUCCUGGGUUUUAGAGUAUUCAUCUUCAAAUAUUGGACCACCAUUCAUGACCAGCC
rnacentral:lncRNA from 1 species